GACGUAGGGCGCGAGCGUUGUCCGGAAUUACUGGGCGUAAAGGGCGCGUAGGCGGCCUUCUAAGUCGAACGUGAAAUCCCCGGGCUCAACCCGGGAACUGCGUCCGAUACUGGAAGGCUUGAAUCCGGGAGAGGAUGCGGAAUUCCAGGUGUAGCGGUGAAAUGCGUAGAUAUCUGGAGGAACACCGGUGGCGAAGGCGGCAUCCUGGACCGGCAUUGACGCUGAGGCGCGAAAGCCAGGGGAGCAAA
rnacentral:rRNA from 1 species